rnacentral:rRNA from 1 species
UACGUAGGGUGCGAGCGUUAAUCGGAAUUACUGGGCGUAAAGCGUGCGCAGGCGGUUUUGUAAGCCAGAUGUGAAAUCCCCGGGCUUAACCUGGGAAUGGCAUUUGGGACUGCAAGGCUUGAGUGCGGCAGAGGAGACUGGAACUCCUGGUGUAGCAGUGAAAUGCGUAGAUAUCAGGAGGAAUACCGAUGGCGAAGGCAGGUCUCUGGGCUGACACUGACGCUCAUGCACGAAAGCGUGGGGAGCAAACAGG